rnacentral:misc_RNA from 1 species
AAGUCGUAACAAGGUUUCCGUAGGUGAACCUGCGGAAGGAUCAUUAAUGAAAGAUAAUUUUUUGGGGUUUUCCCUGAAAAAUAAUUCACCCUUUGUGCAUUGUUAUUAGAUAUACUUUGGUUAGAGCUUUGAUUUCAUUAUUGGAAUCAACUUCUCGCUGACUCUAUCCUUUCUGAGGACAGUUGGCUAUGAAGCGGCCUACCAAGGUUUUUUUUAUCAAACUCUUGUAUUUUGUCUGACCUAAAAACAAAUAAUUAAAUCAUAACUUUCAACAACGGAUCUCUUGGCUCUC